ACGGAGCACGCCGCGUGAGUGAUGACGGCCUUCGGGUUGUAAAGCUCUGUUAAUCGGGACGAAAGGCCUUCUUGCGAAUAGUGAGAAGGAUUGACGGUACCGGAAUAGAAAGCCACGGCUAACUACGUGCCAGCAGCCGCGGUAAUACGUAGGUGGCAAGCGUUGUCCGGAAUUAUUGGGCGUAAAGCGCGCGCAGGCGGAUCGGUCAGUCUGUCUUAAAAGUUCGGGGCUUAACCCCGUGAUGGGAUGGAAACUGCCAAUCUAGAGUAUCGGAGAGGAAAGUGGAAUUCCUAGUGUAGCGGUGAAAUGCGUAGAUAUUAGGAAGAACACCAGUGGCGAAGGCGACUUUCUGGACGAAAACUGACGCUGAGGCGCGAAAGCCAGGGGAGCGAACGGGAUUAGAUACCCCGGUAGUCCUGGCCGUAAACGAUGGGUACUAGGUGUAGGAGGUAUCGACCCCUUCUGUGCCGGAGUUAACGCAAUAAGUACCCCGCCUGGGGAGUACGACCGCAAGGUUGAAACUCAAUGAAUU
rnacentral:rRNA from 1 species